UACGGGGGGGGCAAGCGUUGUUCGGAAUUACUGGGCGUAAAGGGCUCGUAGGCGGCCAACUAAGUCAGACGUGAAAUCCCUCAGCUUAACUGGGGAACUGCGUCUGAUACUGGCUGGCUUGAGUGCAGGAGAGGAACGCGGAAUUCCAGGUGUAGCGGUGAAAUGCGUAGAUAUCUGGAGGAACACCGGUGGCGAAGGCGGCGUUCUGGACUGCAACUGACACUGAGGAACGAAAGCCAGGGGAGCAAACGGG
rnacentral:rRNA from 1 species